rnacentral:tRNA from 1 species
GGCCCCAUAAGUUAACGGAUAGACUUCCCGGCUUCGGACCGGGCAAUCGAGGUUCAAUUCCUCGUGGGGUCA